GCUUGAGUGGCUCAGUCGGUUGAGUGUCUGACUUUGGCUCAGGUCAUGAUCUCGUGGUUGGUGGGUUCGAGCCCCGCAACAGGCU
rnacentral:tRNA from 1 species